rnacentral:lncRNA from 1 species
UCCCGAAGAACCGAUCUUCUUUUUAUAUAGAAGAAGCAAACUUGUGAUACUCCUUGAAUCUUGAUGUCUUCACCACAAAGCCUUGAAGCCGAUAUAUUUUCUAUGAAAAUCACGUAUCACGAUGGAACAAUCAAAACGAGAGGAAAAAUAUUUUUUGUGAAAAACUUCUCUCGAUAAAAUAGACGUUCCUAGAGCAGCAAUCAAAAGAGCAGAAAAAUAUAAUUUUCUCUCCAAAAAGGCGUGAACAACAAAACGUUGAUACUCCUGUAAUUAUAUUCCUGAAUAGAAGAGCCCUACAAAAUUGGAGCCCAUUAGGUUAGUGAGAAUCUUACGUGAGGAAACAAAAUUAUGUAGUAAGGAAAGUCUUUGUCCAAGAAAUUCCUUGCUAACAUAUGACUUAUAUAAUUAAAUAAAUUAAUGACAAAAUAAGAGUUUAAAGCAUUAAGGAAACUUCCCUAGCUUUAGAUAGCGUUUUUCACACGUGUUGAAAAACCAAAAUUAGAAUCCUCUCGGAUUCUAACAAUCUCCCCCUUUGUCAUCUAUUUAUUAUAAUCAAGUCCUCCCCCUUCGUCAAAUACCUGAAAAUAAAACAAUUAGAUGAUAGACGUAAGCAAUAAAACUCAGGAUCAUCCUCAGUAUUAAAGGAACAGCUCAUCAUCAUCUCUUUCAGCAACGAGAGUGACAUCAACUGCUGCAAUAGUAAGUGCCACAGUUUCAGCAACUGUUCCAGCAGUAGUGGCUUCGGCAGGUGGUUCACAACAAAGUUAACUCCCCCUGCAUGUGUAUCUCCCCCUGUGAAUGAUCCUUAGGCAGCUCCUCUUGCAAAUGCAUUCAUUCUUCCCCUUUGCUUACUUGGCUUGGUAGGCUUGGAGAUCGGUGGAACGCGACGUGGUAAAUCAUCCACGUGAUAAGAGACUCAACAAAUAACGUCGGCAUUAUAGCUCCUCCUUUUAUAUUCUUGUGAAGACCUAAACCAAUUAAUGACAAUAAACAUCUCCAUAGAAUUUCACUUGGUGUUGUGGACUUAGAAUCCCACGAGAUUCUAACACUCUCCCCCUUUGGCAUUGAUUGGUCAGAACAUUUACUCCCCCUAAAUAUAUGAUAACUGCAUGAACAAGGGUUAGCAAAUUCAGAAUAACAUCUGCACAUAUAAACUGUUGCAACAGUUUAUCAAACAGUUCAGCAUAUAGUGUAAACCGUAAAUAAACCAUAGUUCCAUAAUAAAAGCAGAUAAUUCGUUCAGAUAAGCACGAGAUAAAAGGAUAUGCAGUAGCAGAAACAACUUCUCUGCACAAUGCUUAUUAGUUGUCCUAUAUUUCUGCCCAGCAACUGUCUCAUGCACUGUUUCAACAGUUGUCUGAACUCCCCCUGCACUGUUCCAGCAACUGUCUGAUGCACUGUCGCAACAGUUGUGGAACUCCCCCUGUGUUCAUGCCAUCGUUACUGUUCUUUUCUCCCCCUUUCUGGGCAAUCACCAUGCAAAGAUAACUCAACAUGGACUAACGAUCUUGAUGAGUCAAGCAAGCUGUUCAAACACUUAACAAAAAGAUCAAAACGAAGAGAGAAUCUUGGAACUAAGUGAGAAGAAUCACUAUACAUAACGUGCACAGAAAAUCACAAACUCACAAACUCAAUACCACACGAUAAUUGCAAUGCAUAAAUCAAAGGAUGGUGAUAUCAAAUCCAACAUUAAAUAGCAAAGACUACAGACUUUGCCAAACUUCAUAAGAAACGUGGAAAUGUGAGGAGUAAGCCCAAUCGAUCCGGUUGCAACAAAAAAUAAAAUUUAACCGGCACAUAAACAAAAAUCCCGUCUCUCUCUCUCUCUCUCUCUCUUUUUUUUUUUUUUUUUUUUUUUUUUUUUUUUUUUUUUAUUAAAUAAUGCCUAAUGCAGUACAAAAAGUAAACAUGAGAAAUAGACAUGAGUGAAGAGACAUAUGUGAAUAGGAUACUGCAUGGACAAACAAAAUAUAUGGGAUUUAUCUUCACAUUCACGAUAAGCGCAAUCCCCAAAAAUCCGACUGCCAAUGCAACCAACAAACUUAAUAAUCCCAAGUCAAACACAAAGAUGCUCUUAUUAGGUAGCGUACACACACGUCUAAUGGUAGCUUUUUCCCAUGAAAAACAGAGCAAUUAAAAAGGAACGAGAUUAUGCUGGUCGUGCAAUGUGUAGUCCCCUGGGCUUUCUAAUUGAGCUUUGUAGUAAGUGUUCGGUCAAGUGGUUUACUGGCUCGACUCAACUAGGCUUCGAACUAUUCACUGACCAUAUAUAUAAUUUAUAUUGGUCGUGCAAUGUGUAGUCCCCUGGGCUUUCUAAUUGAGCCUUGUAGCGAGCUUUCGGCCACGUGAUUUACUGACUCGACUCAAAAAGGCUUCGAACUAUUCACUGACCAAAUGGUUGUAGAUAUACAUAUUAGUAACAGUAGUUCAAGAGUAGCUUUCACUCAUUAAAAGAGGCAGCUUUUCCCUAUAAAAACAUCCAACCAUGACAAGACUAUUCAGAGAAAUAAAUAAGUUGGAGCCUUUUAAGUAAUCAUUUUGGGAAUUUGUGAAGUUCUACCCCACAAAAUUUAGAAAUACACGUUGUAUCAAAUUCACAUUUGUCUCAAUCAUAUGCAGUAUGCUUAAUGCAGAUCCUAUAUGAGAUGCAAAACAUAUGAAGUGUCCUACCACUAAAAGUUGCAAGUCUGGACACACAGACUGUUGCAACAGUUCAUGCAACUGCAUCAGAUUAAACAACAUAAAUUCCCAGCGAUUUUCGCAAGGAAUCAAAUCUCUGUGCAUCAAGGGUUUUUGCAAAAGCAUCAGUUAAUUCAUUCUCCGUUGCAGCAUAAUCAAUUGAGACAACCCCCUUUUCGACCAAGCCCCUUAUGAAACAAUGACAGAUAUCAGUAAGCUUAGUUCUCGAAUGCUGAAUUGGAUUCAUAAACUUAUUUUUCGCAUUCAAAUUAUCACAAUUCAGAUUACCAAGUUUUUUAUUCCCAAAACUAGCUUUGUCACCAGAACUGUUGGAACAGUUAGUACUAUCAUCACAUGAGUUUAAAGAAGUAAUGGCAGAUAAACAAUUAAGAUCAGACUUCUUUACCCAGAUUUUUUGUUGAGUUUUAUUCACUAAAUCAACCUUUAUCUUGGGUUUUUGAGACGACACAGAAGUGUGAUCAAUUUUAGCGGAAAGUGGUGAGCGGGCCAUUAUUCUUUUAACUAAUUUCAAGUACUUAAAACACCUAGGUCGUAUAUGACCAGGAGCAUGACAAAAAUGACAGGUAGGGACAAAACGUUUUCUUUGAGAUGACUGAGUUGAUGCAACUGUCGCAACAGUUUGUGAAACAGUGGAUUGUUUAACAAAAUUGAUUUUUCUUUUUGGAUCUUCUUUCUGUUUCAAUGCAUCAUUAGAUAGCUGAUUACCCCCUAUACCUAUACGACAGUAGUUCGGCUGAUUUUUGUUCAAAAUUUCAUUCAAAGUUACUCUACCAGUAUUAAACUUAGAAAUAACAUCUUGGGUUUGAGCAAAUUUAGCCUGCAAGCUAUCUAUUUCUCUACUAGAAGAAAUAACAUUUUGUUCAAGAGUAGAAAUUCUUACCUUUAACACUUUAUUUUCCUCUAUGAGAACAUGCUUAUCAUUUUCAAGGCGCUUAUUUACCUCAGAUACUUCAAGCCACUUCCGGUACAUUUUUUCAUAUACAUCUUUCACCUCUUCGAGGGUUGGCUCUUCAUCAUCACUACUGCUCUCAGAUUCACCUGCAAAAUUAAAUGAUGAAGUCAGACUAUUGUCCUUAUUUAAAGAUAAUUCAUCAUACCUGAAAUCUGUCGGACAGACUGUUGCAACAGUUCGUCCCUCGGUUCUGCUCAUCGAAGUAGUACCACUGAAUGCCAUAAAUUUAGUGGUUUGAUCUCCUUUGCUGUUCUCAUCCUCAUCACUGUCCUCUUUAUCACUCCAAACAGUGGUGAGUGACAUCUUGUUUUUCUUCAAAGUGUUCGCACACUCGGCCUGAAUAUGUCCAAAACCCCCACACUCUCGACAUUGCUUUCUCCUAGACUUUGCAUCACCAAAAUAACCAUUAUUAGAAAACUUUUUAAAGUUGUUAGGGUUAACAGACUUACCUGAUUGAGAGGAAUUUUCUCUAUUUUCAAUUUUUUGACGCAGGCUUUCGAGGUUAUUUGACAUAAUUGCUAAGGAUUCUUCAACAUCAAUGUCACACUCAUGAAAUGUUUGGCCUUGUGAGAUGCCAUGGGAAGCUUCAGCUUGGAAUGCCACAUUCUUCACCUUUUUCUUUUCUCGAAUAUUUGCUCUAAAAUUCAUUUCUUGGGUUUGUAGUUUACCCAUGAGUUCAUCUAGCUUUAGCGUAUUGAUAUCUCUCACUUCUUCGAUUGCUGCAACUCUGUAAGCGAAUCUUUCUGGUAAUGAACGUAGUGCCUUUCUUACCAACUUUGUUUCCGAGUAUUGUUCACCUAAUGCAUACGAUUCAUUUGAAAUAUCACACAACUUAGCGUGGAAAUCAGCAAUCGUCUCGUCCUCCUCCAUAUGAAGACUCUCAAAUCUCGUGGCUAACAUCUGCAGCUUAGAUGUUUUAACAGUUGAUGUGCCUUCAUACGUCACUUGUAGGAUCUCCCAUGCCCUUUUUGCUGAUUCACACGAUGCUAUCAGUUUGAACUGAUUGUCACCAACGCCACUAAAAAUUGAGUUUAUCGCCCUUGAGUUGUAAUUGGCAAGUAAUAUCUCUUCAUUAGUCCAUGCUUCUUCUGGUUUUACCGUUUGCAUACCAUCCGUUCCUUUAGCCAUGGGCGGGGUCCAACCAGUCACGAUAGCACGCCACGCUCGUUCAUCAACGGACUUGAUGAACAUCUUCAUCUUCGAUUUCCAGUAAGAGUAAUUUGAUCCAUCCAAGAGAGGUGGUCGUACUGUAGACGCUCCUUCACGAUGAAACAUAUCUGCACAAAACAAAUUAAAAAAUUAAAUCCCAAAAUCUCACUAAGUGUAUCUAGUGACAGGCUCUUGAUGCCAAUUGUUAGAAUUUAUUUCGUGCAGAUAUAAAUUAUUUGUGUCAGAUUCAGUUUUUCGUUACUGUUGCGUGAAGUGUUGCAACAGUUCGUGAAACAGUUUGUAAAAACAGAAAUAAACGAGACACAAAUUUAAUGUGGUUCGGAUACAACUGUACCCUACAUCCACUGGGACCUGCAAAUAAAAUUUACUAAUUUUUAGUUUUACGAAUACAAUAAUAGGACUUAAUCAAAAUACAAAGACUCCCUCUUUGUUGACGCCGUUCUUGUAUACUACGCUGAAUUAUAAAUCUUCAAUUUGCAGCACGUCCCUUGCUCCGCACGGUUGAACUCCCUUCAACGCUGAAUCCCUCAGUCGGCGGAUCGAUCUCCUCCCGAGAUCUGUUUAAGCCCCUCUCCCGAAGAACCGAUCUUCUUUUUAUAUAGAAGAAGCAAACUUGUGAUACUCCUUGAAUCUUGAUGUCUUCACCACAAAGCCUUGAAGCCGAUAUAUUUUCUAUGAAAAUCACGUAUCACGAUGGAACAAUCAAAACGAGAGGAAAAAUAUUUUUUGUGAAAAACUUCUCUCGAUAAAAUAGACGUUCCUAGAGCAGCAAUCAAAAGAGCAGAAAAAUAUAAUUUUCUCUCCAAAAAGGCGUGAACAACAAAACGUUGAUACUCCUGUAAUUAUAUUCCUGAAUAGAAGAGCCCUACAAAAUUGGAGCCCAUUAGGUUAGUGAGAAUCUUACGUGAGGAAACAAAAUUAUGUAGUAAGGAAAGUCUUUGUCCAAGAAAUUCCUUGCUAACAUAUGACUUAUAUAAUUAAAUAAAUUAAUGACAAAAUAAGAGUUUAAAGCAUUAAGGAAACUUCCCUAGCUUUAGAUAGCGUUUUUCACACGUGUUGAAAAACCAAAAUUAGAAUCCUCUCGGAUUCUAACA